UACCGGCCUGUAUUAUUGUAACAAUAAC
rnacentral:piRNA from 1 species